UUAAAGGCAUGCACCACCACUGCCCAACCCUAAACACUUUUAUUUACUGGAGUUUUGUAUUUUCUUCUGAGAUUUUGUUGGUAUAUGCCUUAUAAUUAUAUUUGAUUUAUACUUGACAUAUGAUGGAUACAUUUGGAGCCUAUUUUCAUAUGACUUAACACAAUGUUUGAGUCAAAUGAAGUAUCGACUUUAUGUUUACAGAAUUAUCUUUGUGUAUGUGUGUAUGCUUGCUUGUCUGCAUGUGCACUGUUUAUGCUGUGCCCUCAGGCCAGAUGAGAGUGUCCUCAGUACAAAACACUUGAAUGUUUACAAAAAGCAAUAUAAUUUUUUUUCUGUCGUUUAUAGUUGGGACGGAAGAAUCUGUUGCCAAAUCUACAGCUGCACAGAUACGCGUUCUCUUCUCAGCUCUAAGUUUUCAGUGAACUGUAUAAGGUGAAUGUGUCUCUUAGGAGCAUUUGUCUGGGAGUGUCUGGGAUAAGCCGGGGCUGCACAGAUAGACCAUGCCCUCCAAAGGCCUCAGAGCAGCCCGGCCUGCAUCAUGUCCAGAGCAUCAAGCAUGAAGUACAUCUAGUCUACAAAAGUGAUAAGUAAAUCUAAAAAAAACUCUCAAGGAUCCUAUUUUUAAAAUAAACAUUAAAAAAAUCAAGGAAAACUAA